CGUUCGCCACUGAGCAGAUCGGACUUCGCUUCCUCGUGCACCUCGCCUCGCUUCCUCGCGACCAUGUCUGACAAACCCGAUAUGGCUGAGAUCGAGAAAUUCGAUAAGUCGAAAUUGAAGAAGACAGAAACGCAAGAGAAAAAUCCUCUGCCUUCGAAAGAAACAAUUGAACAAGAGAAGCAAACAGGCGAAUCCUAAUGAGGAUAUGCACUGUAC